rnacentral:tRNA from 1 species
GCGCCUGUAGCUCAAUUGGAUAGAGCGGCAGCCUUCUAAGCUGCGGGUUGGGGGUUCGAUUCCCUCCAGGCGUACCA